rnacentral:rRNA from 1 species
UAAUACAUGCAAGUCGAACGCACAGCGAAAGGUGCUUGCACCUUUCAAGUGAGUGGCGAACGGGUGAGUAACACGUGGACAACCUGCCUCAAGGCUGGGGAUAACAUUUGGAAACAGAUGCUAAUACCGAAUAAAACUUAGUGUCGCAUGACACAAAGUUAAAAGGCGCUUCGGCGUCACCUAGAGAUGGAUCCGCGGUGCAUUAGUUAGUUGGUGGGGUAAAGGCCUACCAAGACAAUGAUGCAUAGCCGAGUUGAGAGACUGAUCGGCCACAUUGGGACUGAGACACGGCCCAAACUCCUACGGGAGGCUGCAGUAGGGAAUCUUCCACAAUGGGCGAAAGCCUGAUGGAGCAACGCCGCGUGUGUGAUGAAGGCUUUCGGGUCGUAAAGCACUGUUGUAUGGGAAGAACAGCUAGAAUAGGAAAUGAUUUUAGUUUGACGGUACCAUACCAGAAAGGGACGGCUAAAUACGUGCCAGCAGCCGCGGUAAUACGUAUGUCCCGAGCGUUAUCCGGAUUUAUUGGGCGUAAAGCGAGCGCAGACGGUUUAUUAAGUCUGAUGUGAAAGCCCGGAGCUCAACUCCGGAAUGGCAUUGGAAACUGGUUAACUUGAGUGCAGUAGAGGUAAGUGGAACUCCAUGUGUAGCGGUGGAAUGCGUAGAUAUAUGGAAGAACACCAGUGGCGAAGGCGGCUUACUGGACUGCAACUGACGUUGAGCUCGAAA